rnacentral:rRNA from 1 species
UACGUAGGGAGCAAGCGUUGUCCGGAAUCAUUGGGCGUAAAGAGCUUGUAGGCGGUUUGUCGCGUCUGCUGUGAAAUCUCAAGGCUCAACCUUGAGCUUGCAGUGGGUACGGGCAGACUAGAGUGUGGUAGGGGAGACUGGAAUUCCUGGUGUAGCGGUGAAAUGCGCAGAUAUCAGGAGGAACACCGAUGGCGAAGGCAGGUCUCUGGGCCACUACUGACGCUGAGAAGCGAAAGCAUGGGGAGCGAACAGG